CAGUUCGUGUGGACGGAAACUGUCCCUGCACACCGGGGACGUCACGUGGAGACCGCGGGAUAAUUUCGGGGAUCACACUUCCGAGAUGGAAGAGCCAGGGUCCCCCUGCCUCUCGUGUGGGCGUCUGCGCCUCUGACCUGGUCGUAAUGGCUGCCUCCCUGCAGGCACAGGGAUCGAACUCCGGACCUUGUGCUUUUGAGGCAGGCAGCGGAACCACUGAGCUAAAUCCCCAGACCCAGCUCUCAGGCUCUUUGCACUGAGCUACAUUUCCAGUCCUGUAAAAACAUUUGUUUUCAACACAGGGUUUUGCUAAGUCACUAAAUUGCCCAGGCUUGAACUUGGGAUCUUCCUGCCUCAGCCUCCCAGAGUGCUGGAAUUACAGGCAUGUGCCACCACGUCUGCCCUGAAGUAAUACUACAGGAUUUUAUUUUAUUUUAUGUAUUUGUUGAUUUGUAGUAUGCAAGGUUGAACCCAGGCUGAGCAACACCCUCAGUCCUUUGUUCACACUUUAUUCUGAGACAGUCUCAGUGAGCUGCUAAGUUGCCCAGGUUGGGCUCAGAAUUGUGAUGUCCUCUGGCCCUUCGUCCCACAGUGCUGGGGCCACCACGUGCGCCACACACCUGGCCUAUGGGUUUGUCCCCCACCCCUUUUUCUUCUGGAUUGAUCAUCUGGGUAAACGCUUCUUAACAUCGGAUCUUUCACGAGAUGAGUUAUCUGUCCCUUGUCCCCUUACUGUUCUCUUGGUUUUCUUUCAUUUGCUUGUUGAUCUGCAAAAGCUCUUUUAGUAUCCUAGACAUUAAUCUCAUGCUGAGCAGUCACAGUCUCUGGUCUGUGAUUUGUGAUUAACUUUGUGCAUGGUAUCUUUGGCUGAACAUUAGUAUUUAAGGGAGUGAAAUCCAUCUUUUUUUUCCCUUUUACUCUGAGCUUCUAUAGAUGUUCUGCAUUGUUUUUUUCUGUUCAUUUUAUGAUUUAACAUUACUACUUCUCAGGCAUGGUGGUGCGGGCCCUGCAAUCCCAGUACUUGGGAGGCUGAGGCAGGAGGAUUGCUGCAAGUUUGAGGUCAACCUGUGCUCCGUAGUGAGUUCAAGGCCAGCCUGGACUACAUAAUGAGACCCUGUUUAAAAAAUCUCAAAAAACAAAUAAACAAAAACCAGGGCUGGAAUUUAGCUCAGUGGUGCCACCACCUGUCUCGAAAGCACAAGGUCCUGAGUUUGAUCCUCAGUACCAAAAAAAACCCUCCAAAAAACAAAACAAAACCAAAAACCACAUUGCUACUAUUCAUAGAUCUUUUUCUAUAUACAUAUCAAUGCAUAUAUGGUUUGCUUGUUUGUUAACAAAAAUAGAAUAUAACAGUCCUAUGUAUGGGCCAGGGAUUUAGCUCAGUGGCACCUAGUCUGCCUUGAAAGCUCAAGGUCCUGAGUUUGAUCCCCAGUACCAAAAAAACUCAAAGAAACAAUAAUCCUAUGUAUGGUUAGAGAGCUUUGUUUGUUCUCCACCAAAAUGUGUGAAUAGUGUGUAGUUCUCUGACUCAGAUUGCACUCAUUCUUUUUUCUGGCUGCAUAGUAUUCUCACUUAUGAAC
ensembl:lncRNA